CAGAGACUAGACCUUGUCAAUGUUCUCUGAUGCCCAGUAGGACCACUGCAGGAAAAAAAAAAAAAAGUUAAUGAGACUGUUGCUAGGAGACGGGAGAGCCAAAAGCUCAUAGUCUUGUAGGGGUUCCACUGGAAAUCAAGGCAACUUAAGUAUGCUUCGGAUUAAAGGGAUAAUCCCUUUUUCAGAGCACAUCUCAUUUCCAAGUGGCUGUUGCGCUGCUGUUUGCCCCCACUCCUUCAGUGCGACAGCCUCAGAGCUGGUGGAAAGACUGCAUGCCACUGGAUAAAUUCGUAGAUGUGGAAUUCCUGGAUCAAAUGAUACUAAGGGAGACUUCCCUGGAAGCAGACUUGUAUCCGCAGUGUACAAACUUACCCUGUAAUGCACACAAUGACCAGAUAACACAAACACACAUUUAUCCCCACAGCAUACAGACUCUUGUCACAGUACACAGACUUGCUUUCCAGUACACAGACAUAUCCAAAGGCACACUGACAAGCACCACAGCAAAAAGACUUUCCCCAGAGCACACAGACACUCCCAUUGCAUGUAUCAAUAGACUCUCCCAGAGGCACCUAUAUUCUCCUUAAUGCAGAGACUCACCUAAGGCACACUGAUGCACCCAGCAUGACACAGACUUGCCCCCCCAUAAGGACUCCACCAUGGCACACAAACAAUGCCAACAUCACAUACUGUUCCCACAUCACACAAACACUUUCUAGGAAACACAAAGCCUACAGACUUACCCCAUAGAAUACAGCUUCCCCCAUAAGACACAUAUUCUCAAGGCCAAUAGACUCACUCUACAGCACACAGACUUUCUCCGGAGCAUACAGCUUCUUCCUACAGCAAACAGACUCUUCCCAGUGCACACAGACUCCCCUGACAUCACACACUCUCACCAUAGAUCAUAGACUCAUCCUAGAGCACAGGGACUUUUGCCAAUGAAACAGACUUUCCCCGAGAACAGACUCAUGAGACAGCUUGAAGACCCACAUCAUGAUACAAAGACUCCCACAACGGGCAUACUUACCCCAUUGUGUACAGACAAGCACCACAGGCCACAGAGCCCACAGCACACAGACUCACCCAACACUACACAGACAUUUCCCAGAGCACAUAGACUCACCCCACAAGCAGACUAAACCCAUACUACAGAGACUCUCCCUAUAGCUUUCAGGCAAGCUUACCACACCACAUAGAAAUGCAACAAGACAUCUUACAGCAUAUAUCACUCCUUGAUGCACAGAAUUGUGCAACAGCACACAAACUUGUUCUACAGUGCACGAAUUCAUGUCACAAAAGACAUACUUACCACAUAAUACAAAUACUUGCUCCAGAGUACACUCAUUUGCCCUAAACUAUCUGGACCUUCCC
rnacentral:lncRNA from 1 species